AAACUUACUUGGCGCUGAGUCCAGGGUGAUCAAGAAGGCCCUGGCUCCAGGCGGAGACUCACCAUUGCACUCCGGUGUGUUGAAGCCUGCGACGGACCUUCAUUGGGUUCGCUCGGGUGCAUAGUUUUUGUGAGUGGGGAGGCUCUCGGGCUGUCCCUU
rfam:Hydatigera taeniaeformis genome assembly, scaffold: TTAC_contig0003617